GAUGAACGCUGGCGGCGUGCCUAGUACAUGCAAGUCGAGCGAACAGACGAGGAGCUUGCUCCUCUGACGUUAGCGGCGGACGGGUGAGUAACACGUGGAUAACCUACCUAUAAGACUGGGAUAACUUCGGGAAACCGGAGCUAAUACCGGAUAAUAUAUUGAACCGCAUGGUUCAAUAGUGAAAGACGGUUUUGCUGUCACUUAUAGAUGGAUCCGCGCCGCAUUAGCUAGUUGGUAAGGUAACGGCUUACCAAGGCAACGAUGCGUAGCCGACCUGAGAGGGUGAUCGGCCACACUGGAACUGAGACACGGUCCAGACUCCUACGGGGGCAGCAGUAGGGAAUCUUCCGCAAUGGGCGAAAGCCUGACGGAGCAACGCCGCGUGAGUGAUGAAGGUCUUCGGAUCGUAAAACUCUGUUAUUAGGGAAGAACAAAUGUGUAAGUAACUAUGCACGUCUUGACGGUACCUAAUCAGAAAGCCACGUCUAACUACGUG
rnacentral:rRNA from 1 species